GCUAGUAAUCGCGAAUCAGAAUUGUCGCGGUGAAUACGUUCCCGGGCCUUGUACACACCGCCCGUCACACCAUGAGAGUCGAUAACACCCGAAGCCUGUGAGCUAACCGUAAGGAGGCAGCAGUCGAAGGUGGGGUUGAUGAUUGGGGUGAAGUCGUAACAAGGUAUC
rnacentral:rRNA from 1 species